UUAUGGCUCAGGAUGAACGCUAGCUACAGGCUUAACACAUGCAAGUCGAGGGGCAGCAUGUGGUGCUGCAACCAAUGAUGGCGACCGGCGCACGGGUGAGUAACGCGUAUCCAACCUUCCCUAUAGUAGAGGAUAGCCCGGCGAAAGUCGGAUUAAUACUCUAUGUUUUCCAAUGCAGACAUCUAAAAUGGAACAAAGGUUUACCGCUAUAGGAUGGGGAUGCGUCUGAUUAGAUGGUAGGCGGGGUAAUGGCCCACCUAGUCGACGAUCAGUAGGGGUUCUGAGAGGAAGGUCCCCCACAUUGGAACUGAGACACGGUCCAAACUCCUACGGGAGGCAGCAGUGAGGAAUAUUGGUCAAUGGGCGAGAGCCUGAACCAGCCAAGUAGCGUGCCAGGAUGACGGCCCUAUGGGUUGUAAACUGCUUUUAUACAGGGAUAAAGUGACGUACGUGUACGUUAUUGUAGGUACUGUAUGAAUAAGGACCGGCUAAUUCCGUGCCAGCCGCAGC
rnacentral:rRNA from 1 species